CUUGCUAAGUUUGAUGGCGACCGGCGCACGGGUGAGUAACACGUAUCCAACCUGCCGAUAACUCGGGGAUAGCCUUUCGAAAGAAAGAUUAAUACCCGAUGGCAUAGUUCUUCCGCAUGGUAGAACUAUUAAAGAAUUUCGGUCAUCGAUGGGGAUGCGUUCCAUUAGGUUGUUGGCGGGGUAACGGCCCACCAAGCCUUCGAUGGAUAGGGGUUCUGAGAGGAAGGUCCCCCACAUUGGAACUGAGACACGGUCCAAACUCCUACGGGAGGCAGCAUG
rnacentral:rRNA from 1 species